AAUAGUGGAAUCGUCGUAUUUAUACUUCUGGCUUUGAAGGUUUUGAAUGUAAAACCCCAACAGUCCCACAUUGUGAAAUUGAUAUACCUCAGAGAAUGACGAACCUUCUUCGUUCAAAUCCAUGGCGCGGCAAUGCCAUUUCUAGGGUUUUCGGCGCAUUAUUCUACUCCACCAAUGCCCUAGCUUCCCCACCACCCCCACUUCAGUCUCUGCACCGCAGGAUUUGCUGGCUCCAAGACCAAGAUCUCAAGGCUUCUAUUUUCCCAAUUCUCAGUCACUGGGCUGCGGAAGCUAGAGACGUCAAUCAACUGGAGGUCCAAGCUUUCAUCGUGAAGCUCCGUAAAUCCAAUCACUUCAACCACGCCCUCCAGGUCUCAACGUGGAUGAGCGAUGAAUUGAAGCUCAGUCUGACUCCAGGAGACGUUGCUGCUCGGAUAGAUUUGAUCUCGAGAGUUCACGGCCCCGAUGAAGCCGAGAAGUAUUUUGAUGGUGUUUCGGAGCAAUUGAAAGGUUUGCAAGCUUAUUGUGCUCUCUUACAUUGCUAUGCUCAGCAUAGAUUGUUGGAUAAGGCAGAGAGUGUUUUUGGAAAAAUGAAGGAGUUAGGUUUUGAGAUAGGAAUUAGGUCCUAUAAUUCAAUGUUAUGGCUAUGUUUUCGGACCGGUAAUCAUGGAAGGAUAGAUGUUUUAGUGAAAGAGAUGGAAGAAAAAGGCAUUGAUUAUAACCAAGGCACUUUGAUGGUUAGGUUGUAUUCGUAUGCAGCCAUUUCGGAGAUAGGCCGAAUGGAGGAGGUUUUGCUGAAGAUGGAAGCCCAUCCUCUGGUCACUAUAAGCUGGCGUAGCUAUGUUAUUGCAGCCAAUGCGUUGUCCAAGGUUGGAGAAGUGGACAAGGCAUUGACAUUGCUGAGGAGCUCGGAGAAACUCAUUAGCAAUAGCACAAGGAAAAUUGCUUACGAACACCUGCUCUCUUCAUACGCUGCUAUUGGUAAGAGAGACGAGGUUGAUAGAAUCUCGAAUUUGUAUAAAAAUUUGGGAAAGUGCUAUAGUUAUCGUCAUAUGUUAGUUGCAUUUCUGAAAAUGGAUAACAUUGAUGGUGCUGAGAAGCUUGUGGAGGAAUGUGAAUCUGAAUCCAAGAAGUUUGACAUUCAGAUAGGCAACUUGAUGGUCAACGCUUACUGCAAGAAAGGUUAUUUGGAGAGGGCUAAAUCCUUUGUAGAGAAGCUUGCAGAGAGUGGAAAGGAGAAUGUAAGCACAUGGUGUCUUUUGAGUAAGGGAUAUUAUAGGAAUGGGUGUGUGGCGGAGGCCUUGCAAGCAAUUAAAAAGGCAGCAAACUUGCCAUGUCAACCAGGAUGGAGGUUCAAUCAUUCAACUUUGGCUGCAUGUCUUGUGUACUUGAAAGAGAACGGAGAUGUGGAAACAGCUCAUGAAUUGCUGAGUUUACUGACAGAAAAGGGUCAUAUAACGACAAUUUUUUGUGAGACCUUAAAAAGCUUUGUUAAUGGUGAAACCCAGGUUCUGAGGUCUAUUGGGGGUGAACAAGAAAAUCAUUUGGAGGAUAAAAUUCAGGACGGAGAGUUGGAGACUAUGGAUAGUGGAGCCCAACAAUGUGGGUAGGCAUGAAAAGAUAUCUAUGGAAGGUAUGUUGUUUCUGUACCAAAAGGUGUAUCUAUAAAAAUCACCUUUUUUUUAAUGCUUCAGAUGACUUUGGAGUUGCUAGCUUGUUCUUCAGAAAUUUGCAAAAAGGCUAUUUUCAUACAUGCUAUUGUUGUAUUUAUGAUGGGUUCAUUAUAUUUUGUAGAGUGCUACACUGCACACUCCAGGAAUGGUUUGCGGGCUUAGUAGUUUAACCAUGUAUCUGAGAUACCAGAUACCUCUAUGAUAUCUGGGAAAAGGUUCUGUGGUGGAACUUUCAUUUUCUUAGUGUGUAAGUUGAGUCCAGAGAGCAGCUUGUUACAGGUGGUACUUUUUGGAGUUGGCAACCUUUAGUUGGCAGUUGUGGAGACUUGCUGACCAGCAUAGAAGUUGAGGAUCUGCAACAUAGCCUAGCAAGAUUAAACCUUACAUGUUAGAUUCAUGUAAACGCGCAUACUGGAAUAUUUAUUAAUUACUGAAAUUCCUGACCAGCAUGUUGUAUUAAUAAGCCUGGACUUGGACAAUUUGGUUAUUUUUCACAUGAUUUAUGAGUUAUGACAAACUCAGGCCUUUUGAACUGAGUUCGGACAAACUUGAUCGGAUUCAUGAAUGGAAUCCACUAUCGAGUCCAGUGUGACACCCACGGGGAGGACUGCUAAUUAGCUUAGCUUCAAACAAGACAUAGCUUCGACCUUGGGUUGGUUCCAUGAGUGUGUUGCUGCUACUUAGCCCCACCACCCAAAUCUAAAA